rnacentral:tRNA from 1 species
ACGCCCAUCGUCUAUCGGCUAGGACAUCAGGUUUUCAUCCUGGUAAGCGGGGUUCGAUUCCCCGUGGGCGUGCCA